rnacentral:rRNA from 1 species
UACGGAGGGUGCAAGCGUUGUUCGGAAUCAUUGGGCGUAAAGCGCGUGUAGGCGGCUUGGCAAGUCAGUUGUGAAAGCCCGGGGCCCAACCCCGGAAUUGCAUCUGAAACUGCCUGGCUGGAGUCCCGGAGAGGAAGGCAGAAUUCCCGGUGUAGGGGUGAAAUCCGUAGAUAUCGGGAGGAAUACCAGCGGCGAAGGCGGGUCUCUGGACAGUUCCUGACACUGAGACACGAAGGCCAGGGGAGCAAACGGG